rnacentral:rRNA from 1 species
GGGGAAUAUUGGACAAUGGACCAAAAGUCUGAUCCAGCAAUUCUGUGUGCACGAUGACGUUUUUCGGAAUGUAAAGUGCUUUCAGUUGGGAAGAAAAAAAUGACGGUACCAACAGAAGAAGUGAUGGCUAAAUACGUGCCAGCAGCCGCGGUAAUACGUAUGUCACAAGCGUUAUCCGGAUUUAUUGGGCGUAAAGCGCGUCUAGGUGGUUAUGUAAGUCUGAUGUGAAAAUGCAGGGCUCAACUCUGUAUUGCGUUGGAAACUGCAUGACUAGAGUACUGGAGAGGUAAGCGGAACUACAAGUGUAGAGGUGAAAUUCGUAGAUAUUUGUAGGAAUGCCGAUGGGGAAGCCAGCUUACUGGACAGAUACUGACGCUAAAGCGCGAAAGCGUGGGUAGCAAACAGGAUUAGAUACCCUGGUAGUCCACGCCGUAAACGAUGAUUACUAGGUGUUGGGGGUCGAACCUCAGCGCCCAAGCUAACGCGAUAAGUAAUCCGCCUGGGGAGUACGUACGCAAGUAUG